rnacentral:snRNA from 1 species
GUGCUUUCUUCAGCAGCACAUAUACUAAAACUGGAACGAUACAGAGAUUAGCAUGGCCCCAGUGCAAGGAUGACAUGCAAAUACGUGAAGUGUUCCAUAGUUUG